rnacentral:lncRNA from 1 species
GUUGUUUCCUGAAGAAUCGUCUCAAAUGUAUACAAAUCCUGGCAUUUAAUUGUGGGAAUGGAUCUGCUACUGUGCACAAAACUUCUUGGAGAUCAACAACAAUCCAAAGGCAGAAGGGAAGAUAAUUAGAAAUUGAGGAUGGGAAAGAGGAAGAGAGAAGAAAUAAUGACUUUCAGAGGACUUUCUCUCCCUUAGAACAAAAUGAAAAGGAACACCUAAAAUACUCAGCAUGUGGUACUUUUGUCUCUGCUUUCUUACCUUGGGCCCUGUGAUUCUUAUUAAGAAUAGUGAUUGUCCUAUAUGUCCAGCUUCCU